rnacentral:rRNA from 1 species
GUAGGGAAUAUUGGGCAAUGGUCGGAAGACUGACCCAGCCAUGCCGCGUGCAGGAAGACGGCCCUCUGGGUUGUAAACUGCUUUUAUCUGGGAAGAAAAAGGCCAUGCGUGGCAAAUUGCCGGUACCAGAUGAAUAAGCACCGGCUAACUCCGUGCCAGCAGUCGCGGUAAUACGGAGGGUGCGAGCGUUGUCCGGAUUUAUUGGGUUGAAAGGGUGCGUAGGCGGCUGAUUAAGUCAGCGGUGAAAGACUUCGGCUUAACCGGAGCAGUGCCGUUGAUACUGGUUGGCUUGAGUGUCGGAGGGGUACAUGGAAUUGAUGGUGUAGCGGUGAAAUGCAUAGAUACCAUCAGGAACACCGAUAGCGAAGGCAUUGUACUGGCCGACAACUGACGCUGAUGCACGAAAGUGUGGGGAUCGAACAGGAUUAGAAACCCUGGUAGUCC